GUCACAGCGAACGCUUGUAUUUUACAUCUUUAAAACGACCUGAUGUCAGAAGAAGAUGCCCUGGAUCUCCUGUUGCAGGAUGACCCAAACGAUCAUGCAUUCAGUAUAAAUACGUACAUGGUAUUGACAUCCCAAUAUUUAGUGGGAAGUUCCCAGGUAUCAUCCGCUAGCGACAGUCUACUGACAAAUCCAGACAUGCAUUGGAAGGAUGCUGAUGUGGAGGACACAGGAACACCUGAUCCCAGAACUGUGGCAUUUCAUUCGGGGUGACAACCUGCCUUUCAGUUGAUAUGGGACCCUAUUAUUCGGAGAACUGCAGAUUUUAUGAAGCUGUUUUUGACAGAAGAUUUGGUUUUCUCCAUCUGUGUUGCCACCAACCAUUAUUCUGAGAUAGUCAUAUCUAGGGGGAAGAGUUGCCAUAUACUUCCAAAGGAAGUUUGCAACCUCUCACUGAAGAGGAACUGUACAGGUAUUACUAGUUUUAAAAACCGAUAUUGUGGCAGUAAUUUCCAGUUUCAAAAGAAUAAUAAAAUGCAUAGUAAAAAGAUUACCUUUACCAAAAUUAAUCUGGCUGUGAAUGUAACUCAUUUAUUAAAUGUGUACUACAAUUACCUCUGAUAAAAUUUCAUAAGUAAUUAAAUGCAUACUUUUCAGAGGGCUUUGAUUAUCGAAAACAUUUAC